AUCUGCUGAUUCUAACUUGCAAUCAUAAAUUCAUCAAACAAUUUUUUCAGUUUAAAUUUACCAAGAGUAUCUUUAGAAAAUGUUAAAAAAUCCUUUGUAUGCUAAACACAUAUUUAGCCACUGGUGUGAUUUUUUGAAAAUCACUAAAGGAACACACACACGUGCCUCCUUAUUCUACUUGGAAUUUUUUCUUAAAAGCUGAUAAGUUUUCAGUAAUUUCCCCCUCUCCAUAUAAUGCCUCUUAAAUAAUUAUUUAGAAACUGAUUGUUGAUUUUAUUAUUUGUUAGUUCGAAACAAAUAAGACAUGUCAAUUGAUUCUUGAAUGCAUAUCUUUGCUUAUUAUAAUAUCUUCUAAACUGCAUACUGCUGCAUAUGUUCACCAGCCACUUCAGAGAUAUUCAGUAAUAUGUGGUGCAGUCAAUUUUGUUGCUCCAAAAGGAUCAGAAACAUGUGGUGGUCUUACAGCAUGUUGUAGUUCUUCUAUCCAUACUUCUCUAGUUUUACUAUCACUUGCAGAC